rnacentral:rRNA from 1 species
AUCUGGCUCAGGAUGAACGCUAGCGACAGGCCUAACACAUGUAAGUCGAGGGGCAGCACAAGGAGCAAUCUGAGGUGGUGACCGGCGCACGGGUGAGUAACACGUAUGCAACCUGCCUGUAAGCGGGGAAUAACCCGUUGAAAGACGGACUAAUACCGCAUAAUACUAAAUUACUGCAUGGUAAUUUAUUUAAACAUUUAUGGCUUACAGAUGGGCAUGCGCAUGAUUAGCUAGUUGGAGAGGUAACGGCUCCCCAAGGCAACGAUCAUUAGGGGUUCUGAGAGGAAGGUCCCCCACACUGGUACUGAGACACGGACCAGACUCCUACGGGAGGCAGCAGUGAGGAAUAUUGGUCAAUGGACGAGAGUCUGAACCAGCCAAGUCGCGUGCAGGAAGAAAUGUCCUAUGGAUUGUAAACUGCUUUUGCAGGGGAAUAAAGUGCAUCACGUGUGAUGUUUUGUAUGUACUCUGCGAAUAAGGAUCGGCUAACUCCGUGCCAGCCGCCGC